ensembl:lncRNA
CCCAAACCCUAACCUUAAUCUUAAACCGAACCCUACAUUAACCCUAAUCCUAAACCCAACCCUAAACAUAACCCUAACCCUAACCCUAAGCCUAAGCCUAACUCUAACACUAACAGUACCCUAACCCUAAUCCAAAUCCUAAAUCUAACCCUACCCUAACCCUAAACAUAACCCUAAAACUAACCAUAACCUUAACCCUAACCUUACCCUAACCCUACCCUAACCCUAAACCUAAUGCAAACCCUACCCCUAACCCUACCCGUAAUCCUAAAUAUAUACCUAACCCUAACCCUAAUCCUAUGCUAACCCUAACCCUAUCAUAACCCUAAAGCUAACCCUAACCCUACUUUAACCAUAACCUAACCCUAACCCUAACCCUAGCCAUAACACCCACCUAAACCCUAACAGUAACACUACCCUAACACUAACACUAACCCAAAUCCUAGCACUACCCAUACCCUAACCCUAACCCUAACCCUAACCGUAACUCUAACUCUAAUCCUAAUCCUAACCAUAACCAUAACCCUAACCCUACCGUAAACCUAAACCUAACCCUAACCCUAACCCUAAACUUAACACUAACACUAAAGGUAAACCUCACCCCACCCUAAACCUAACUGUAACCCUAACCCUAACUGUAAUCUUAACAGAAAUUUAACCCUAACCCUAAACUUAAUCCUAUCCUACCCUUAUCUUAAUCCUACCCGUAAACCCAACCCUGAACAUAACCCUAACCCUAAUCCAAUCGCUAACCCUAACUAUAAUCGUACCCCUAACCCUAUCCUAAUACUCACUGCAACCCUACUGUUGUAGUAGGCGCUUGACGGGGAUACGUGCUGUACGGGAUAGGCCUCUCCCUAAGCAUAGUGAAAGGGUACUGUUGUGCUCAGACAGAUUGUCCUUGCUUGAUGAGUAAACAAGAUAAGAAGGCGAAGGAAUGAGGAGACGAUAGCAGCCAAUAAGGAAUUGUGGUAAGGGGCUAAGAACAAGUACGGACAAUUCAGGACAGGCCAGGAUAGCUCAAGAUAUAUAAGCUGUGUGUAUUAGUGAAUAAACGCCAUUUUGCUACAUCCCCA